UAAGGAGGGUUGUUCGCGCGUGCCACGUGGGCGGGGGCGUACUGUGCGGCGCAGCCAAUGGAAGGAGCGGAGGUCUCGCGCUAUCAGCAUUGAGCCGUCGAGAGAGAGAAAAAAGGGGAAAGAGCGCCAGCCCCACGCCCCCACCAGCCCCAGAUUCGUUCCACAUCCCCCUAUUCCUCUCCCUCUCCGUUUCCUUCCUACCGCCGCCACCACCUGCGACCUCCCCGCAGCCGCCGCGACCGCCGCCACCGCCUGCGACCUCCCCGCAGCCGCCGCGACCCCUGGGAACCCUCUCGCUGAUGCCACGUCCUGACCUAGCGAUUGGGUGAGAAAAAGUUGCCUUCGCAUAGAAGCCAGCAAAUCCCUUUCCCGAGGCGCCCUUCUCUCGUCCUUCCCCUAUCGCACAGAGCGGCUACACAGAGAGAGACCCCCACCGCCGCUGCACACCACCAUCGUCCUCCCCUCACCUAGGCCCCAGAUCGAGCAGGCAACGCGGCGCUUGCAGACCCGCGACGGGCGGAGUUCUCGCGCCGCCGCCGGCUCCUAUCCCGUGCGUCCAGCCCUACUUCGUGCACGGGGCGAAACAGUCGCCGCUGCCGGAGCGGCCCUCGGCAGCGAGGAGGCCCAGGUAGACAUGGGGCUAGUCGCCAGUUCCCGAUCCCGCGUGCUCCAGCCCCUGCUACGCGCACGCGACGAAACGGCCGCUGCUGUCGGAGUGUCCUUCGGCGGCGAGGAGGCCCAGGGAGACAGGCCGGCGGUGACGCUCGUACUCCUUCGCGCAGCCACUCCGACGACGGCCAGGAUUGUUGCUGUCUCUGUUCCUUGAAAUCCCAUACAUGCCCGCGUCCAAUUUGUGCUCGUCGUCGCCUUCCUACAAUAGCUACGGAUCUGCAGACCCCUGGAGGUUGGAGGAGGCCUUGGGGAAUGGGGAUGAUGAGCGGCCAGCUGUCGGCAAAACCCCACUGUCAUCUCCCAUAUCCUGCCGUUGGCAAUGUGGACCAUGGAGAACGCGAGGAAGAUUUGGUCUACCCAAUGCGGCGAUGAGGCGUCUGAUGAACGAAUAGUCUGUCUGAUUGGAGGCUCUGCGGAAGAAGAACAUGGAGAACACCUCUCUUCCUUUACAUCUAAAAUUGAAUUUACAGGUGAUCGAUUCAUGAAGUUCAAGUGUUUAUCAAAUUGAAUGCAAGGGUGAUUAGGAUUUUACAGGAUUAUAUUUGCUUAUUGUCAUAAUAUUUAAACUACUGAUGAUGUUCUAGAAUGUUAUUUGGUAUUCCUUUCAGCUAUGAAGUGGUUACUUUUAAUGUGUUGUUGACAAAGGAACCUACCACUUUGAUGAUUUGGUAUUAGAAUGAAACAGACUUGCAAUUUCAGUUUGCAUCUAACUCUGAUGCUUAUGGUUUUGAAGUACAUCUAAUGCUUAUGGUCUUGAAGUACGUAUCACUGCACAGUUAUUAACAUAUGACUCAUACAAAACUUGAUGAAUUGCAGAGUUAUAGUUUCAUGAUUUCAUAAUAUACUUAAUUCAAAAGUUUGGCCUCUAUUUGACGAGCAGGUUGUCUUAGAAAAUCGACAGCUGAAAGUGACUAUUUCAAUUCUUAUAAUCAAGAGCUACAAACUUCUUCUAGCUCCAAAACGAGGCAGGUAAUGCAACUUAUGCAAGUAAGUGGAGGAUGCCCAAAAGAUUCAGAAGGGUGUGAUGACUGCUUUGAAAAGGCAUCACUUCCUAACAUAAGCGAAGAGGAGAAAAGGAAGAUCCUUCACUUUGUGAUUAUUGGUAGUGGACCCACUGGGGUUGAAUUUGGUGCAGAGCUGCAUGUUUUUCUUAUCGAAGAUAUGGUGAAGCUAUAUCCUGCAAUUGAAGAAUUUUUGAAGAUAAGAAUUAUUCAGCAAGGAGAACAUAUAUUGAAUAUGUUCUCUUAGAAAAUCAACAACUGAAGGAGAAUGUUUUAAUUCCUAUAAUCAACGGUACAAAGUGGAAGUGGCUGCGAGCACACCACCGUCCGUGCACCUGUCCUUCCUCACUCCAACAUCAGAUGACCCAUCGACCAUGGCCAUUGUCCCAUGCGUGGCCAAUAAAUUUUACACUGCUGAGGGGAGCGACCAGCUCGUGGUUGUGGUGUCUGGUUGCUCCAUCUGGGGUUUGGCGUUUUUUGAACAGGUUGAUUUGACUCCGCAUAGCGUCUGCGUCCUCACCUCGCUCAAGGUUAAAAAUGUUGGCUUGGAGCCUAUCCCUAAAGUCUUGCUGGCUUUUCUGAACAUCCAAGCAAAAAACAUGGCAGUGAUCAGAGCAUUUGGUACUGAGGGAAAAGUGAAGGGUCUGAGUAGUGUUCUUUCAAUUGAAGUUGUUGAGCCUUCUGGUGUGCCCCCAGAACCGGCUUUCUUUCAGCAUCAUUAAACAAAGCUUUGAAUACUAUGCUAGCAGUUUGUAGUUGUGCUCUAAAUACAUGUUCCCCUACUUGUAAUCGCCACUUUUUGUUUGUUUCUGCAUUAAUUAGUGGAUCUAAGGUAGUUAGACACACAUUGACUAUAAUUGGUCAUCUCUACUAAGACAUGAGUGGCAUCAGGACACAUGUGCUACGAAUCAUAUCCAAAAGCAAUGAAAAGGGUGCCUACAACCUGGCGCCGCACAAGCUCCCUCUGAGGAGGCGCCACGGGGUGGCGCCCCAACUGCUAGUAUAUAUGCGUAUAUGCAUAUUCCCUGUGGAGGCACACACACGUACUACCCGUGUGAGCAUCUUCGAGAGACGUUUUCAUUGACAACGAGGCGUCUACGGUGACUUCGUAAAUGUAAGAUGGUAUGCCCGUGCAAUGUUGCUGUUAGAAAAAUUGCCGUCUUAAAAAAAAGUUCCCGUGCAAUGAGAUAAAACAAUAAUAAACAUAAUAACAUUUAUAAUGACUAGAAAAUUAUCCCGCAAAAAAUGACUAGAAAAUUAUCCAUGUGUUGCAACAGAGCAUAAAAUAUUAUUUUCUUUAACAGUAAUUGUCUCAAACAUGUAGUAUCACAUGAAUAGCGUGCCCCGAGCCUGCAAUAACUAGGGAUGGCAAUGGGUACCUAUUACGCAUGUACUUUGCGGGUAAAAACUCUAUUAGGGCAAGGGUAUGAGUAAAAAAAUACUCAUGAAUAUGUAAAUAGGAAAAUUUCACACCCAUUGGGUAUAGUGGGUACGGGUAUGGUUUAGUAUAACCCAUACUCAUGUAUCAAUGUACCCGCAUAUAUUCUGACAAAUAGACCUUACAUAUUAUUUAUUUACAUAUUAAACAUAUUAUAUGUACAUAAAUCCCGCAGCCCUAAAAAGCCCCGAUCAUGCAUUCAUGUUAGGCCACCUCACCACAAUAGUUAGCCCACGAACGAGUAUGCAUUGUUGUCAUGAUGUGUUGUUGUUUAUAAAUUAUUAUUAUUAUUAUAAGUUGUUGUUUAUGACUAUGUAAUGCUCCAAUUGAUGUGUUGUAAAUCUGGGCAAUUUUACCCGCGGGUACCCAUUUAUCUUGAUGGGUGACGGGUGAUGAGGAUAUCAAUACCAUUGUUACACCCACAGCCCCUAAUGUUAUACAUACUGGACCAAUUACUAGAGCUCGCGUACGCCAAUUGAAUUAUCAGGUACUUUCGUUUCUUGGUAACGAUUCUAAUGUUUAUAAGAAUAUGAUGCUGCCUAAAUUAGAUACAUUUGUUUUGCUUACAAAUGAAGGGCCUAGCUUGGACAAGAAAGAUGAACC